rnacentral:rRNA from 1 species
UACGUAGGGUGCAAGCGUUAAUCGGAAUUACUGGGCGUAAAGCGUGCGCAGGCGGUUCUAUAAGACAGAUGUGAAAUCCCCGGGCUCAACCUGGGAACUGCAUUUGUGACUGUAGAGCUGGAGUACGGUAGAGGGGGAUGGAAUUCCGCGUGUAGCAGUGAAAUGCGUAGAUAUCUGGAGGAACACCGGUGGCGAAGGCGGCAUCCUGGACCGACACUGACACUGAGGAGCGAAAGCCAGGGGAGCAAACGGG